GCGGCGGGGCGGGCCGCGGGCUCGGCGUGAGGCGGGCGGCGGCGGGGCCGGGCCGGGCGCCGGGAGUCGCGGCCCCGCUGGACCCGCCGCGGGGCCUUGCGGGAGCAGCAUGGCCGCCAGCCUGUGGAUGGGGGACCUGGAGCCAUAUAUGGAUGAAAACUUUGUUUCAAGAGCCUUUGCCACCAUGGGAGAGCUUGUACUGAGCGUAAAAAUCAUUCGAAACAGGUUGACAGGAAUUCCAGCAGGCUAUUGCUUUGUAGAAUUUGCAGAUCUAGCUACUGCAGAGAAAUGUUUACACAAAAUCAAUGGAAAACCGCUUCCUGGUGCUACACCGGCAAAGCGAUUUAAACUGAAUUAUGCAACGUAUGGAAAACAGCCUGAUAACAGUCCAGAAUAUUCCCUUUUUGUGGGAGACCUGACUCCUGAUGUGGAUGAUGGCAUGUUAUAUGAAUUCUUUGUUAAAGUUUAUCCCUCGUGUAGAGGUGGCAAAGUCGUUUUGGACCAGGCAGGAGUAUCCAAAGGUUACGGGUUCGUGAAGUUCACGGAUGAGCUGGAGCAGAAAAGAGCACUGACAGAGUGUCAAGGAGCUGUCGGGUUGGGCUCCAAACCUGUACGCUUGAGUGUGGCUAUACCAAAAGCUAAUCGUGUGAAAGCAAUGGAGUACAAUCAGAUGUACAACUAUAAUUAUAACCAGUAUUACCAACAAUAUCACAACUACUACGCGCAGUGGGGCUAUGACCAGAACACGGGCAGUUACAGCUACAGCUACCCCCAGUAUGGAUACACCCAGAGCACAAUCCAGACAUAUGAAGAAGUUGGUGAGGAUGCAUUGGAAGUUGCUGUUCCUAGUCUGAACCUUCACCUACGGUCCCCAGCCAUCCCCAGCAGCCGCUCUGACCCUGUAGUGGAGGGAGCAGAACGGACCAUGUGCCUGCGCCUCCGCUCCGCCACUUGGCAGUCGGUGCCUUAGUGCUACCCACCUUCUUUGGCAGUUUAAGUGGCUACCCUGGGCUGCGAGGUGCAGAUCCAACACCUCAGCUAGACGUCCAUGAAGCAAAUAAACAGUUUAUGGAACAGAGUGAAGAGCUCUAUGAUGCCUUGAUGGACUGUCAUUGGCAGCCUUUGGACACUGUCUCCUCAGAGAUUCCAGCCGUGUUAUAGCCUCAGGCUGAGGCACUGUGUCUGUGUGACAAGCCCGCCAGCGUGCUCCAGACUGUUAAUGCUGCACCAGGACCCUGCAGUAGUGAGGGGUGGCCCUUUCUCCACCCAGGUCUGUUACUCGAAGUACAGGAGGACUGUGGCCUUCCCUGUACGGAAUGAGUAUCAUAGGAGCAUCAUGGUAAACUUUUAUUCAUGGUGAAAGUUAGAACUGCAACAGUUUUAUUCCUUUUGUCUUGAAAUGAACUCUGAAUACUUAUUGGGGAAUUGUAAUUUAUAAACUCUCAGCGAGAUGGCACAGGGGAAAGACUCUACUCCAACGUACAAUAAAAAAGUUGGUCUUUUAAGUAAAAUUACCCUUUGCUUUUUGGUUCCUGCCCAUCUUUCUGGUUUGCUGCCCAUUUAACCAUCUUCAGUUCUCUGAUCCAACUCCCACGAAUGUGUUCUUUUAAAGAAUCAUUGCUGGAUACCACUAACGUAUUGCACAGUGACUGGGUAAGGUUGCUGUAACUUGAGGACGGGGAAGAACCACGUAGAUGAAAGCUUAUGUUCUCUUUGAGCUAGCACGUUUAGAGCUCGGUGUUCUUAAUCUACCUGAAGAGCUUUUUGGAGAGUAAAGACAGAAAGGAGAGUUGUAAAACUACUACAGACCGAUGCCUCCUAUCUGGUGAUCUCUCUCACGUUUGGCUUGCUUCUCCACUUGUCUCUGAGGAAACAAUUCCCCAUCAGCCAACCAGUUUAAAACACUUUUACCAGCAGCCUUGUUUAAAUGUUAUUUUGUGUCUUAUGCCUUUUUUUCAUUGUGGAUGAAAAAUGGUCUCAUUCAGAUGAUGAGAUUUCACUUCCACUGUCCUGUCAGAGUGCAUCUGGUGAAACUGAAGAUCCUGCAGCAAAAACGGGUCAGAGCAAUUGCCAUAUUGUGCAACAAAUUGUUGCUAGCCUGGAAAGCAGUUUUCUACUGGAUGUUGUAUAAGCUGGAUGAACAAGCAAUAUAUUUAAGCUAAUAUUAUGUUGCAUUAGAGGUGAAAGCAAAAAUAAUCGCACUUCUGUACAUGUUCUAAGCCCUUUCCAGGCUUUUGUGCCUUAAACUCUUGGAGAAAUAGGAACAGAAACUACCUGUAAUAAAUGUCUAUCCAAGAAAUCGUUUGGUAACUGAAAUUGCUGCUGCAAAGCAUUUCGUUGCCUCCCUGCCCAUGUUGAUGCAGAGAUUUGCCACGAGAUUUCAAUACUUUCAUAAAGCCUAAUUCUACUA